rnacentral:misc_RNA from 1 species
AACGCACCUUGCGCUCCUUGGUAUUCUGAGGAGCAUGCCUGUUUGAGUGUCAUGAAAUUCUCAACUGCCUUUUAGCAUUUAUGUUAAGGUGAAGUUGGAGUUGGAGGAUAAUUGCUGGCGCAACUUAGGUUGCUUGUUAGCUCCUCUUAAAUGAAUGAGCUUUUCUGAUAGAUCAUAGCUCAGUAAUACUAAUGUGAUAAUUAUCUGCAUUAGAUGUGAAAGCUGUGAGUAGAGUAACUUCAAUUAUGAAGAAGCUCCUACAGAAAGGGUGUGUUUUGGGGAUAACAAACCCAUAACUUAUGACAAAUCUGACCUCAAAUCAGGUAGGACUACCCGCUGAACUUAA